GCUCGAUUGCGGAACGGAUAGCUAAGUAAGUGAUUGUUUAUCAUGCACAUUUUCGGAGACUUAAAAUCUCUCGCCAGUAAUGGCGUGCCGGUUCGAGUCCGGCUUCGGGCACCA
rnacentral:tRNA from 1 species